UUGAUUGCCCUUGUGAACGGACUCCUCUAUUUACCUACAGAACAAUUACAGCAUGGACAGCAGCAGGGCAAACUUCUUUUAUGCUGCCCCCUGCUGAUGUGUCUCAACCCUGUCUUCAAGGAAUCACCUCCAAAGAUGAGAGGAGUUCAGUCUCCUUGGCAUAUUUCCUGCUUGCUUGU
rnacentral:sRNA from 1 species